rnacentral:other from 20 species
CAAAAUAAUGACAACGAAAAUAACAUCAAGGAGACAUUGGAACAGCAUCGGCAACAGCAACAGGCCUUUUCAGGUAUGAGUCACGUGGAAUAUUCCAGAAUUACA